CCUCCUGAGGAGUUUUAUCUCCCCUCUGUGGCAGCACAGGAGAUUCUGGGGGACCUUAGGUCAGAAAUAGGCUCAUCUCCUCAAACCCACGCUGGCCCAUAUAAAGGUGCUCGUGAAAAAUCCAAAUGUCUUUGCCAAUAUACCAUCCAUGCACAUGGUAGAAAGGUGACAGGUCUGAGCAGCUCUCAUCCAGUUUUCUCAAUGAUGCAGUCAGUCCUGCUUCUCUCCCUGAUGAAGGUCCUGAUGGAUGUCCUGGAGCUAGGGACUGGGUAAGAUUGAGGCUGACUUUUCCCUGUAGGUAAGCGUUCUCUUCCAAGGUGGAAACCUACCACCAGGUGACAUGGGGUCCAAGCUACAUGCACCAAAAAGCCUUGGAAGUGACUCUUGGAAACCAUGUGUCAGGGUAACUGGCAUAGUUAUCAGUGCUAGGAAUCAAAGAGUCGAUCUCAACAAGAAUCACUUGCUCCAAGUAAAAGGUCACAGAUACAAAGCAGGAGUCUCAUGGCCCAGGGAAACAGGACUACACCAUAGCAAGGGCACAAGAACCUGAGUUUAGUCCCAGAAAGCCAUGAAUGCUCUGGUCAAGCUGGAUCUUCCAGCUUUGCAAUCUAAGGCUGAAGCUUUAAUGAGACACAGCUUCCUAAUUACAGGUACAAGUGGUUCCCAGAGAGAAGAGGCUGUUAGCCAACUUGAAAGUUUUCUUUCAGGAGGCAUUAGCACAGAAUGGAUGGAUUAGUAAUUUAAGAAAUUUGUUUUUUCCUACAAGUGCACUUCUAUGCCAAGGCUCCUAGGUCCAAACCUUUCAUCUACUCCCUGGGGCUUUGGAGAGAGUCCUGAGAGGUGAAGUCACCUCUGGCCAGUCUCAGCCUCCCAACACCCACCUGGGCAGCAGCCCACCCAGCAGCUACAGCAUCUAUAACAGCCCAUGAAGAGACAAUGGCUCAGGCUAUGCUGGGGUGACAAAAAAGUGUUUUAAGAGGCUAUUGGAGUCAAUGGAGCCACCACAAGGCACAUCUGCCACCUCUCUGUGUUCUCAGGAAGAGCUGUGAUACCCCAGCUGGGAUAGGGGCGACGUAGGUCAAACUUUGGGAAUUUGAAUACAACCCUGACCCUCUUCUUCUCUGCCACGAUGACUCACAUGCUUCACACAGAAGCAUGUCCAUGUCCAUUCUGGACAGGAAACCGCAACCUAGAAGAGGAGCCACUGUAAACACUGGAGCAGUGGCCACAUUCUAGCGGCUGCUGUUUCUUUCAGAUGUGGCCCAUCUUCUCGGCCCUCACCUCCUAUCUGCCCUGCACUGACACAUGCAGCCUCCAGGCCUCCUAUCUCUUGCCUCUCCAACUGGGCCCCUCCUGGGAUGCCACCUCUUACCUUCCUGAACCAUGCAUCAGAUUUCAACUUCCCUUCAGUGACUCCCUUUGUCCACAAGGUGAAGCUCAGACUCCUUAGCCUGCCCCUCAUUGUCACAGCUCCCCACCACACCAGGCCUGAGCCCAGGGCACUGUGUGGUUUACAUAUCACCUUUGCACAGAUCCACCCACUGCACUGUGCAGAGUCCAUCAUUCAAGCCGCCUGCCUUCCCCUAACACAUGAAACCCAAGUGACAGUUAAAAGGGUUCUUGCCAUCAACAGUGUGUGACAUGGUCAUUUUGUGUUCAUUUUGAUUCAUCCAUACAAUGGGAAUAAUCAUAUUGCCUAGCCUCGAGUGAGGAGCAAAGAAUUGAAUGCUGAUCUAGAAACAUGCCUGGUGUGGGAAAUGCACAUAGCACCAGCCAUCACUAGUGGUAUCACCUCUGCCCAAUGUGUUUUUUUGUAGCCAGGGCACCUAAACCAAACCGUGCAGGGGAUGCCCAACCCCACUGGGCUUGGCCUCCACUGCAGGCUGGAGAUAGUGGGCAGACUUCCAGUCUGCUGACAAGCUGAUCAACUGCAACAAAGCACGAAGUGAUGGGCCUGCCAACUGAAAAUGGCAGAGAGAGACAUCUGCCCCUCCGUCUCCUUCUUGGCCCAGGUAGCUUUUUGCAAAGCCCAGGAUAGAGCCUGGAUGAAUGUGUGGAACAGCAAAGGCCUCAUCUGCUUCUGUCCUUUCCAGUGGUCUGCUUGGUACAUUCCUAUGGUCUGGGCUUCCACACUCAGAUCCCCCUGUUCCCCUGAUUACUUACCCUGCCUCUGGUGUCAUCACAGGUCCAGUGAGCAUUUCUGUGAAUAAGCACCUCUCUGCCCUUGGGUAGAUGGCCAGAAUCCAGCACCCCUGGGGAAGAGGCUCCCAAGUAAAUGGCUCCAAGUUAACAAGCUUCACAAUGGGAAACUAUUCUCAAUAAGCUUCCUCAGCACUCCUGCCCUACCCUUCCUCCCAUCCACUCAGUCCUGGGGGGGUGGGCUGUGGUGAGCAGCAGGUGUUCCCAACCCCCGGAACAGCUCCCUGCAGAGUUUCCUACCACCAGCCACAGGGGUGCCAAAGGGGGACGCCCCCAUGGCCAGAGGCCUAUGAUAGUGUGCCAGGAUGGAGACUUGGGUGGGCCAUGCAGGGUGCCUCCACCCAGAGCAGGUCAUUCCACAC
rnacentral:lncRNA from 1 species